AGAACAAGUGAAAUGAACAUGAUGAUGGAAACUAAAACUAAUUAUGAUAUUUCUGUUGGGCAAGAGGACUCCUUCUCUUCUAGGAUUCCUUAUGUUGGCAAUGAAGAGAUAGGUACAGCAAGCAAUAUCAGUAAGGAUGAAAUUUCGGAGAGUAAAAACAAUGAUGAAAAUCAACAAAGGCCUAAAAGGAAACAGAUAGAAGAUGGUCUUGAUAUUAACAUGGAGGCUAAAUUUCAGGGAGAACAGAUCGAAACAGGGGUCAACUGUCAGCUACCUCAUGAUAAAAGAGUCCGGCAUAUAGAUCUUUCACAUACAGUUGUGGAGGCUUCAGCAGUUAGUUGUCAGAACAUGCCUUGGGAUAAGGUCAAUAGUAAAUUGGAGGACAAAGAAAGUUCUAGCAAGCUGCUGAGAAAUUUCAGUGGAAUUCAUGGAAGUUACAGUUCUGGAGUGAAGGACCCUUCUAGUGGCAAUUUUGCAUCACAUGUAAAUGAUUUCAGUUCCUGUUCUUCAGUUGAGGUCAAGGGAUGCAAAGAAGCUUGUGAUGAGAAAAUCAUCCACGAGGACCUAGGAAGGAUGGAAAGAACCUUCUUUCCUUCUGAUGCAAAUAAUAAACUAAAAGGGCCUCAUGAGCACGGGGACCGAUUUCAAGCUCGGAUACCGGAUCUUGCGCUUGCUUUGGGGGGUGAAACGAAACCAUCGCCAAAGGGUAUGCUGCCUUUCUUUGCUGGGACAGCUGACAAGAAAAAUAACCAGGAAAAGACUCCAGAUUUAUUGGAAGAUGAGAAAAA
rnacentral:lncRNA from 1 species